AGGAGAAACUGGAAGUACUCCGGAGAAAAUUGUUCCUGUACUCUCGCCUUCUCUUUUUUCUUCUUCUGGUAGCAAACCGGAGUAUUUUUUGCUUCUGUUUACUCCGGAGUGACUUCCGUGUACUGGAACAAAUCUAUGGAUUUCAACUCAAAUGCAACAACCGAUUCCGACUCGAAAUCGGUUGUCGCAUUUGAGUUGGAAUCCAUACUGACUCCAUUCAGGAUUCCGAAUUAAAUUCCGCAUGGUUUGACCGGGUUUUUCCUCGGCGUAGAAAUCUCGAAUUAUCGAUCACAUCAAGUUGAGUUCAAUCAGUUUAAGUUUUCAACAAAGACGUGGAACCAGAAGCAACAAAAAUGGCGUCGGAUGCACCGAUUGGGAGUAUGGCACGUGCAGCCGCAGUAGCAGGAAUAGCAAUCGGUUCGAAGGUUUUAGCUUCAACCGUAGGCAAAAAGGCUUUGAGAGCCGGUUUAAUUCGAGGCUCAAUCGGAGCAUCCCGGGUGGCUGGAGCAGUGCUGCCGUCGAAAGUGUGGAGAUCAGCGGCUGUUUAUACAGGAACGCGAUGCGCGAACUACGUUGGAUCUUACUGGAUUCCGCCACUUUCGACGGCGCUAAUGGCCUUCGAUGCUUACAAGCUGUUGUGCUACGUGUCCGGCCUGCUCCGCGCUCGUUUAUGAGAUGAUUCAAGAAUUACAAGAAUUUUGUGAAAGUUUCGAAAUACAAUGAAUUAAUUUUU